rnacentral:rRNA from 1 species
UUGAGAGCUUGCUUUUAUUAUUUUAGCGGCGGACGGGUGAGUAACGUGUGGGCAACCUGCCUUUUACUGGGGAAUAAUCACUGGAAACGGUGACUAAUACCGCAUAAUAUUCUUAGGAGGCAUCUUCUGAGAAGGAAAGGAGAAAUUCGGUAAAAGAUGGGCCCGCAUCUGAUUAGCUAGUUGGUGAGAUAACAGCCCACCAAGGCGACGAUCAGUAGCCGACCUGAGAGGGUGACCGGCCACAUUGGGACUGAGACACGGCCCAAACUCCUACGGGAGGCAGCAGUGGGGAAUAUUGCACAAUGGGGGAAACCCUGAUGCAGCAACGCCGCGUGAAGGAAGACGGUUUUCGGAUUGUAAACUUCUAUCAAUAGGGAAGAAAGAAAUGACGGUACCUAAAUAAGAAGCCCCGGCUAACUACGUGCCAGCAGCCGCGGUAAUACGUAGGGGGCAAGCGUUAUCCGGAAUUACUGGGUGUAAAGGGAGAGUAGGCGGCAAGGUAAGCGAUAUGUGAAAGCCUUAGGCUUAACCUGAGGAUUGCAUAACGAACUAUCUAGCUAGAGUACAGGAGAGGAAAGCGGAAUUCCUAGUGUAGCGGUGAAAUGCGUAGAUAUUAGGAAGAACACCAGUGGCGAAGGCGGCUUUCUGGACUGAAACUGACGCUGAGGCUCGAAAGCGUGGGGAGCGAACAGGAUUAGAUACCCUGGUAGUCCACGCUGUAAACGAUGAGUGCUAGGUGUCGG